UUUUCGACUACCAUUUAAUCUUUAACUGGAUAAGAGCUACUCCUUCUAUAAAAACUUCUGGAUCAUCAUUACCUGCUGUAAUUUUAGUUACUGAUGUCCCCAUAUAGUAAUAGGACCAUUCUCUCUAGCCAUAUUCUUAAUAUCUGCCAGGUAUUUAUCAAAAGUCGUUUCCUUGUCUGGAACCUUAUUAUAUACCUUUUUCAUCUUUAAUAUGACCAAGAUUAGGAAAAGCAAUAUUCCCCGUGGGACAAAAUAGCCCCCUAAUUCUGCAUCCUCCAUAAUUUUAAUUUUGUAUUUGUGAGUAUCACUUGCACAAUCUUUUCUGGAUGAUUCCACAUUAAAAUUUUAUUGCUUGUAAUCAGA